UAUUUUAUAUAUAGCAUGUUCAAGGCACUGUUUCUUGUCUGAUCACCAAAGUUGAGCAACAUCAAACCUAGUUGGUACUUCGGUGGGUGACUACUAAGGAAACCUGGAUGUUGUAAGCA
rnacentral:rRNA from 1 species